UACGAAGGGGGCUAGCGUUGUUCGGAAUUACUGGGCGUAAAGCGCGCGCAGGCGGUUCUUUAAGUCAGGGGUGAAAGCCCAGAGCUCAACUCUGGAACUGCCCUUGAAACUAGAGAACUUGGGUACGGGAGAGGUGAGUGGAAUUCCGAGUGUAGAGGUGAAAUUCGUAGAUAUUCGGAAGAGCACCAGUGGCGAAGGCGGCUCACUGGCCCGUUACCGACGCUCAGGCGCGACAGCGUGGGGAGCAAACAGG
rnacentral:rRNA from 1 species